rnacentral:miRNA from 4 species
UAUGAGAGUAUUAUAAGUCAC